GACGAACGCUGGCGGCGUGCUUAACACAUGCAAGUCGAACGGAAAGGCCCUGCUUUUGUGGGGUGCUCGAGUGGCGAACGGGUGAGUAACACGUGAGUAACCUGCCCUUGACUUUGGGAUAACUUCAGGAAACUGGGGCUAAUACCGGAUAGGAGCUCCUGCUGCAUGGUGGGGGUUGGAAAGUUUCGGCGGUUGGGGAUGGACUCGCGGCUUAUCAGCUUGUUGGUGGGGUAGUGGCUUACCAAGGCUUUGACGGGUAGCCGGCCUGAGAGGGUGACUGGCCACAUUGGGACUGAGAUACGGCCCAGACUCCUACGGGAGGCAGCAGGGGGGAAUAUUGCACAAUGGGCGGAAGCCUGAUGCAGCAACGCCGCGUGCGGGAUGACGGCCUUCGGGUUGUAAACCGCUUUCGCCUGUGACGAAGCGUGAGUGACGGUAAUGGGUAAAGAAGCACCGGCUAACUACGUG
rnacentral:rRNA from 1 species